AGCGAACGCUGGCGGCAGGCCUAACACAUGCAAGUCGAACGAACCUUUCGGGGUUAGUGGCGGACGGGUGAGUAACACGUGGGAACGUGCCUUUAGGUUCGGAAUAACUCAGGGAAACUUGUGCUAAUACCGAAUGUGCCCUUCGGGGGAAAGAUUAAUCGCCUUUAGAGCGGCCCGCGUCUGAUUAGCUAGUUGGUUGAGGUAAUGGCUCACCAAGGCGACGAUCAGUAGCUGGUCUGAGAGGAUGAUCAGCCACAUUGGGACUGAGACACGGCCCAAACUCCUACGGGAGGCAGCAGUGGGGAAUCUUGCGCAAUGGGCGAAAGCCUGACGCAGCCAUGCCGCGUGAAUGAUCAAGGUCUUAGGAUUGUAAAAUUCUUUCACCGGGGACGAUAAUGACGGUACCCGGAGAAGAAGCCCCGGCUAACUUCGUG
rnacentral:rRNA from 1 species